CGCGCGCGCGCGCGCGCGGGUUCUCACGCACGGUCUGCUACCCUCCUCGCCUCUCCCGCCCCUCCCACUCGGCGAGAGCUGUGGAGCCGCAGCAGCCAGCCCGCCCCGCGCCUAGCUCCCCAGCCCGGCGGGCGAUCCGCUUCCUUCAGACUGCUUCUCGCCCGGGCGCCCCCUACGAAGUUCUCCCUCCCUCACCACCCCCUGCGAGGACCUCAGGGGGCGGUCCCGAAUCCCAUUAUGUAGUUCAGGCUGACCUUGAACUCACUAUGUAACCCAGACUGUCCUCUAACCCUAGAGGAUCCUCCUGCCUCAGCCUCCCAAGUACUGGGAUUACAGGGAUGGAACUCGGGUCCUUGUGCUUGCGCAGCAGGCGGCGAAACCACUGAGCUAAAUCCCCGGCCCUGUUUAACUCUUUUGACUAAAGAUAAGUGUUAGGAUUUGAUAUUCUGGGAGGGGAAGGGGUGAAAGGAUUGUAUCCACCCAUCUUUCCCUCCCACCUGCACCUGAAGCUAGCUCUUGCACUCUAUUCUUGGUCAAAAAUGGGAGAUGAAACACUGUCCAGCAUACCCACAGCAGUAUAGAAGAAAGAACAGCAGCUGCCAAACCUGCUUCACCAAGUCACACUGCCACUAGUGGUGACCAGGACCAAGGUUUUAACACUUGAGGAGCCUUGAAUGGCAGGGCUAAAUACAACCACCUUGCCUUGUGUUAGCUAGUGGGUGUGUUUUAACAAGUUCCAUAAGUAAGCUUUUACCAUUUGAUACUUCUCAAAUUCAAAUGCAGAUACCUCUUGACUUAUGGAGUUAUGUCACCAUAACCCCAUGCAAACAGUCAUUCUCCAAGUUAUUUGUUUUGGAAAUAUUACUUCUUCCUGUAUCAGAUUUACCUUAAGGUAAUUCCAGUUCUCAUGGGCUUCCUCAAGAUGUGGAUGGCAUAAAGGACACAGAUACCAAGAAGAGCUCACCAUCAUGGCUUUCCUCACGAUAGGCUGCCCUGCUUUCUCCAGAUGAGAAGAACCUGGAAUCUAACUCCAGAAGGAGAGAUGAGCAACCCAGAACCUGCUAAUGCUUAAUUGGUGAGCCACCUUUGGAAGCAGGCUACCCAGAAACAGAAGGAGGAUCACCUUGAGUUCGAGGCCAGCCUGGGCUACAUAGUGAGUUCGAGGCCAGCCUGGACUACAUACAUAGCAAGACCCUGUCUCAAAAAGACCAAAUAAAUAAUAAAUGAAUAAAUAAAUGUCUGAA
rnacentral:lncRNA from 1 species